UACGGAGGAUGCAAGCGUUAUCCGGAAUUAUUGGGCGUAAAGCGUCCGUAGGUGGCCGUUCAAGUCUGCUGUCAAAGGCUGGGGCUUAACUCCAGACAGGCAGUGGAAACUGAACAGCUAGAGUGUGGUAGGGGUAGAGGGAAUUCCCGGUGUAGCGGUGAAAUGCGUAGAGAUCGGGAAGAACACCGGUGGCGAAAGCGAUCUGCUGGACCACAACUGACACUGAGGGACGAAAGCUAGGGGAGCGAAUGGG
rnacentral:rRNA from 1 species